rnacentral:rRNA from 1 species
GACGAACGCUGGCGGCGUGCCUAACACAUGCAAGUCGAACGGAGUUACCCUUCGGGGUAGCUUAGUGGCGAACGGGUGAGUAACGCGUGAAGAACCUGCCUUUCAGUGGGGGACAACCGUUGGAAACGACUGCUAAUACCGCAUAAUGUCAUUUGGGGGCAUCCCCGAAUGACCAAAGAUUUAUUGCUGAAAGAUGGCUUCGCGUCUGAUUAGCUAGUUGGUGAGGUAACGGCUCACCAAGGCGACGAUCAGUAGCCGGUCUGAGAGGAUGAACGGCCACAUUGGGACUGAGAUACGGCCCAGACUCCUACGGGAGGCAGCAGUGGGGAAUAUUGGGCAAUGGGGGAAACCCUGACCCAGCAACGCCGCGUGAAGGAAGAAGGCCUUCGGGUUGUAAACUUCUUUUAGUAGGGACGAAUGCAUGACGGUACCUACGGAAAAAGCAACGGCUAACUACGUGCCAGCCGCCGCCGUAAAAC